GACAGAGGUGCCGAGCGUUAGGCGGAAUCACUGGGCUUAAAGCGUGUGUAGGCGGAUACCUAAGUACCUUGUGAAAUCCCACGGCUCAACCGUGGAACUGCCUUUGAUACUGACUGUCUUGAGUUCGGGAGAGGUGAGUGGAAUGCCGAGUGUAGAGGUGAAAUUCGUAGAUAUUCGGCGGAACACCAGUGGCGAAGGCGACUCACUGGCCCGAUACUGACGCUGAGGCGCGAAAGCGUGGGGAGCAAACAGG
rnacentral:rRNA from 1 species